UACGUAGGGUGCAAGCGUUAAUCGGAAUUACUGGGCGUAAAGCGUGCGCAGGCGGUUUUGUAAGUCUGUCGUGAAAGCCCCGGGCUCAACCUGGGAAUUGCGAUGGAGACUGCAAGGCUUGAAUCUGGCAGAGGGGGGUAGAAUUCCACGUGUAGCAGUGAAAUGCGUAGAGAUGUGGAGGAAUACCGAUGGCGAAGGCAGCCCCCUGGGAUAACACUGACGCUCAUGCACGAAAGCCAGGGGAGCAAACGGG
rnacentral:rRNA from 1 species